rnacentral:rRNA from 1 species
CAGUCGCCGCGGUAAUACAGAGGGUGCAAGCGUUAAUCGGAAUUACUGGGCGUAAAGCGCGCGCAGGCGGUUUGUUAAGUUGGAUGUGAAAUCCCCGGGCUCAACCUGGGAACUGCAUCCAAAACUGGCAAGCUAGAGUAUGGUAGAGGGUGGUGGAAUUUCCUGUGUAGCGGUGAAAUGCGUAGAUAUCGGGAGGAAUACCAGUGGCGAAGGCGACCACCUGGACUGAGACUGACACUGAGGUGCGAAAGCGUGGGGAGCAAACAGGAUUAGAUACCCCAGUAGUCCCUGUCUCUUAUAC